AGAGUUUGAUCCUGGCUCAGGAUGAACGCUGGCGGUAUGCUUAACACAUGCAAGUCGUACGAGGUAUUUUAAAAGUAAUUUUAAAAUACUGUAGUGGCGCACGGGUGCGUAACACGUAAGAACCUACCUUUUGGAGGGGGAUAACAAUGGGAAACUGUUGCUAAUACCCCAUAAAAAUUCAGUAUUAACAUUGUUUUUACUGUAGCUGAGGAGUGAAAGUGAGAAAUCACACCAAAAGAUGGGCUUGCGUCUGAUUAGCUAGUUGGUGGGGGUAAAAGCCUCCCAAGGCCACGAUCAGUAGCUGGUUUGAGAGGACGAUCAGCCACACUGGGACUGAGACACGGCCCAGACUCCUACGGGAGGCAGCAGUGGGGAAUUUUCCACAAUGGGCGAAAGCCUGAUGGAGCAAUACCGCGUGGAGGAAGAAGGAUCGUGGUCUGUAAACUCCUUCUAUCAGAGAAGAAUAAAUGACGGUAUCUGAUGAAUAAGCCCCGGCAAACUCUGUGCCAGCAGCCGCGGUAAUACAGAGGGGGCAAGCGUUAUCCGGAAUGAUUGGGCGUAAAGCGUCUGUAGGUGGUUUUGGAGGUCUGCUGUCAAAAACCAAGGCUUAACCUUGGGCAGGCGGUAGAGUACUCCAAGACUUGAGUAUGGUAGAUGUAGGGGGAACUCUUGGUGGACCGGUGAAAUGGGUAGAUAUCAAGGGGAACACCAGCGGCGAAGGCGCCCUACUGGGCCAUUACUGACACUGAGAGACGAAAGCAGAGGGAGUGACUAGGAUUAGAUACCCUAUUAAUCUCUGCCGUAAACGAUGGAAACUAAGUUCUAGCUCUUCUUUAGAAAGUUAGUUCUGUAGCUAACGCGUUAAGUUUCCCGCCUGGGGAGUACGUUCGCAAGAAUAAAACUCAAAGGAAUUGACGGGGACCCACACAAUCGGUGGAUUAUGUGGUUUAAUUCGAUCAACGCGAAGAACCUUACCAGGGUUUGACAUACCAGAAAUCUUUCAGAAAUGGAAGAGUGCUUAUUAUUUCAAAUAAUAAGAGUCUGGGUACAGGCGGUGCAUGGCUGUCGUCAGCUCGUGCUUUGAAGUGUAUGGUUAAGUCCCAUAACGAGCGCAACCCUCGUCUUUAGUUAAUUACUCUAAAGAGACUGCCCGUGUAAGCGGGAGGAAGGUGAGGAUGACGUCAAGUCAGCAUGCCCCUUACAUCCUGGGCGACACACGUAAUACAAUGGUUGGGACAAUCAGUAGCGAUCUCGUGAGAGCUAGCCAAUCUGCUAAACCCAACCUCAGUUCGGAUUGCAGGCUGCAACUCGCCUGCAUGAAGCCGGAAUCGAUAGUAAUCGCAGGUCAGCUAUACUGCGGUGAAUACGUUCCUGGGUCUUGUACACACCGCCCGUCACACCAAGGGAGUUGAAUUGAACCCAAGCAGGUAACCCAACUUUUUUAGAGGGACCCUUCAAAGUUCGGUUUAGUGACCAUGGUGAAGUCGUAACAAGGUA
rnacentral:rRNA from 1 species